rnacentral:rRNA from 1 species
UGGGGAAUAUUGCACAAUGGGCGGAAGCCUGAUGCAGCAACGCCGCGUGCGGGAUGACGGCCUUCGGGUUGUAAACCGCUUUCGCCUGUGACGAAGCGUGAGUGACGGUAAUGGGUAAAGAAGCACCGGCUAACUACGUGCCAGCAGCCGCGGUGAUACGUAGGGUGCGAGCGUUGUCCGGAUUUAUUGGGCGUAAAGGGCUCGUAGGUGGUUGAUCGCGUCGGAAGUGUAAUCUUGGGGCUUAACCCUGAGGGUGCUUUCGAUACGGGUUGACUUGAGGAAGGUAGGGGAGAAUGGAAUUCCUGGUGGAGCGGUGGAAUGCGCAGAUAUCAGGAGGAACACCAGUGGCGAAGGCGGUUCUCUGGGCCUUUCCUGACGCUGAGGAGCGAAAGCGUGGGGAGCGAACA